AGUAGGGAAUCUUCCGCAAUGGACGAAAGUCUGACGGAGCAACGCCGCGUGAGUGAUGAAGGUUUUCGGAUCGUAAAGCUCUGUUGUUAGGGAAGAACAAGUGCAAGAGUAACUGCUUGCACCUUGACGGUACCUAACCAGAAAGCCACGGCUAACUACGUGCCAGCAGCCGCGGUAAUACGUAGGUGGCAAGCGUUGUCCGGAAUUAUUGGGCGUAAAGGGCUCGCAGGCGGUUUCUUAAGUCUGAUGUGAAAGCCCCCGGCUCAACCGGGGAGGGUCAUUGGAAACUGGGAAACUUGAGUGCAGAAGAGGAGAGUGGAAUUCCACGUGUAGCGGUGAAAUGCGUAGAGAUGUGGAGGAACACCAGUGGCGAAGGCGACUCUCUGGUCUGUAACUGACGCUGAGGAGCGAAAGCGUGGGGAGCGAA
rnacentral:rRNA from 1 species